AGCACUGACCGGCGGCCAGGGUGGCCGGUACCUACGGUGGAUCUAGGGGUGCUUACCGUACUGGAAGUAACCGGUGCCGUAUCCAGAUUUUUAGGGUGGAUGUGGCAACCGUGAGAAUGUUCCUGAACCACAGGCAAGAAGGAACUGCUGCAAUCUAUUCCUCUUGGACUUGGGCUGACACUAGAAUUCAAGAAUUGGGCACUGUAAUCAUGUCGAGGACACAUGACUCGCAAAUGAAGCAAGGCAGAAGUUGCCCUUCAGGUUCUGCUGACUGCUGAGACACAGGAGGAGCUGGGGUUUCCACUGUUGAAUCUUCCAUGACUAAUGGUACCAUAUAUUUGCUGUUAAAGAUGCAGCUUAAGGGUCUCCCAGAUAGCUGAGGAGAUAAAUGCACUGACCAUCAAGCUUGAUGACCUGACCGUGAACCUAACGGUGGAAGGAUGGAACCACACUCUGGAAGUUCCUAUCUGGCCUUCAUACGCAUGCUAUAGCUUGUGUGCGCACAGAAGCAGAAAAAUAAAUUUAAAGAAAAUAAAAAGGUUGCUAUUG
rnacentral:lncRNA from 1 species